rnacentral:rRNA from 1 species
UACAGAGGUCCCAAGCGUUGUUCGGAUUCACUGGGCGUAAAGGGUGCGCAGGCGGCCAAGUGCGUUAGGCGUGAAAGCCCGGGGCUUAACCUCGGAAUUGCACCUAAAACUACAUGGCUAGAGCAUUGGAGAGGGUAGCGGAAUUCACGGUGUAGCAGUGAAAUGCGUAGAUAUCGUGAGGAACACCAGAGGCGAAGGCGGCUACCUGGACAAUUGCUGACGCUCAGGCACGAAAGCGUGGGGAGCAAACAGG